GCAAAACUUAUUUAGCUAUAAGGCAUUGGAAUCAAGGAAAAAUUGUAAAAAUCGAUCACAGAAAUGCACCGUUUUUUAAAGAUUGAAAAAAUCGAUUACAGAAGGGACUGUUUUCUUUUAGUUUUCCUUUUUACCAAUCGCCUAUUUUCUUGGUCCCAUAUUUGGCUUCCAAUGCCUUAUGAAAUUUCUAAGAAAGAAAAUCUAGCAAUAAUUUGACGGUUGACUAUUAACCUAAGAACGUUUCACAGAUGUCCUCGAAACAACCCGUCUAUAAUCCCAGUGAUGUCCCAAAUGACCUUUACGGGAUCAUCCCAUACAUGACCCGAACAGUCCCAAAAGUGUGUCCCAUGGACGUUCCGCGUAGAUGUCCUGUAAUGCCGUCCGUGGGACAUCUCAGGGACCGAGGAGUUGGGAUGGAAAGUUUUGAUACACCCACCACAUAGUCCGGACCUGGCGCCAAGCGAUUAUCAUGUUUUUUUGCAUUGCAAAACUUCUUUAGUGAUAAGACAUUGCCAUCAACUGAAGAUUGUGGAAAUCGGUUGCAAAAGCAAACUCGGGCAACCCGAAACAUAUGUUUGUACAGGUACAAAUAAUAUGGAUUUUCUCUCCAACCUGCAUGGCUAUUAUAAUAUUGAUUAAUGCUCUGUAAAAAGUCAGAAAAAACCAGCUCGAUUAAAAAAACUUUAAUUGCUAACCAAAUAUGAAACACUUUCUAGUCCAUCUUACAUCCAGAGAUGUCGACAAUUUCUUGUGGACAAACAACUUGGGUGAACUUGGCGUUGGGGUUGGAGCAACCGUUCAAGAACGUCCACCUGAAGAAAGAAAAGUAACAAUUACCCGAAAUAGGUUCCAACCUUCCAUUUGCAUCAACUCACCUGAAUUUGCACCCAGGCUGCAAUACUGCGGGCAGGUCGUCGCAAGCAGCUUCAGUUUCUACUCCACCGUACUGGUCACCCCAACCCUGGUCAGGUGCGUUCCAUUGCUUCUUACAUCCUUGAGUGUAGUACCCAACUCCACCUAGAGGAAACUCAACAUGUUUUCAUGCUAAAGCGCAUUUCCUUUCAACUCACCUCCGGGAAUGGCAAUUUCAAUGUUGUUCUCGGUACUGUUGGCACUGCUGGUACCUCCAGUGUUGGUAAUUUGGACAAUCAUGGUCUUGCCCUCACCACAGUCUCCCCAGCCGCCUCCAUUGAAUUCAACUAACAUACAGGUACAACACAUGUUCUCUGGUGGGCUGAUAAAGGCAACAGCUGCGAAUCUGAAGAGGCGAUACUUUGUUCGAGUGCUUAAAUAGGGGAUGUAACACUUACCCGUAGGCCAAAGUGCUGUUGACGAUGACACCCUGUUGAGCGCUGCACAUGUAUGCGUUUCCAUUGUCUUCGCAUCCAGAUUGGACGUUUCCAUCAAUGUCGCUGGAGC